AACCAGCGGAGGGAUUAUUA
rnacentral:rRNA from 1 species